UACGUAGGGUGCAAGCGUUAAUCGGAAUUACUGGGCGUAAAGCGUGCGCAGGCGGUUGUGCAAGUCAGGUGUGAAAUCCCCGGGCUUAACCUGGGAACUGCACUUGUGACUGCACAGCUGGAGUACGGCAGAGGGGGAUGGAAUUCCGCGUGUAGCAGUGAAAUGCGUAGAUAUGCGGAGGAACACCGAUGGCGAAGGCAGUCCCCUGGGCCUGCACUGACGCUCAUGCACGAAAGCGUGGGGAGCAAACAGG
rnacentral:rRNA from 1 species